rnacentral:rRNA from 1 species
CCUACGGGAGGCAGCAGUAGGGAAUCUUUCACAAUGGGCGAAAGCCUGAUGGAGCAACGCCGCGUGCAGGAUGAAGGCCUUCGGGUUGUAAACUGCUUUUAUAAGCGAGAAAUAUGAUGGUAACUUAUGAAUAAGGAUCGGCUAACUACGUGCCAGCAGCCGCGGUCAUACGUAGGAUCCGAGCAUUAUCCGGAGUGACUGGGUGUAAAGAGUUGCGUAGGUGGCAUAAUAAGUAGCUAGUGAAAUCUGGUGGCUCAACCAUUCAGACUAUUAUCUAAACUGUUAAGCUCGAGACCGUUAGAGGUAACUGGAAUUUCUGGUGUAGGAGUGAAAUCCGUAGAUAUUAGAAGGAACACCAAUAGCGUAGGCAGGUUGCUGGGACGGUUCUGACACUAAGGCGCGAAAGCGUAGGGAGCAAACGGGAUUAGAUACCCUAGUAGUC